UUAAAAGUUCGGGGNUUAACCCCGUGAUGGGAUGGAAACUGCCAAUCUAGAGUAUCGGAGAGGAAAGUGGAAUUCCUAGUGUAGCGGUGAAAUGCGUAGAUAUUAGGAAGAACACCAGUGGCGAAGGCGACUUUCUGGACGAAAACUGACGCUGAGGCGCGAAAGCCAGGGGAGCGAACGGGAUUAAAUACCCCGGUAGUCCUGGCCGUAAGCGAUGGGUACUAGGUGUAGGAGGUAUCGACCCCUUCUGUGCCGGAGUUAACGCAAUAAGUACCCCGCCUGGGGAGUACGACCGCAAGGUUGAAACUCAAAGGAAUUGACGGGGGCCCGCACAAGCGGUGGAGUAUGUGGUUUAAUUCGACGCAACGCGAAGAACCUUACCAGGUCUUGACAUUGAUGGACAGAACCAGAGAUGGUUCCUCUUCUUCGGAAGCCAGAAAACAGGUGGUGCACGGUUGUCGUCAGCUCGUGUCGUGAGAUGUUGGGUUAAGUCCCGCAACGAGCGCAACCCCUAUCUUAUGUUGCCAGCACUUUGGGUGGGGACUCAUGAGAGACUGCCGCAGACAAUGCGGAGGAAGGCGGGGAUGACGUCAAAUCAUCAUGCCCCUUAUGACCUGGGCUACACACGUACUACAAUGGGAGUUAAUAGACGGAAGCGAGAUCGCGAGAUGGAGCAAACCCGAGAAACACUCUCUCAGUUCGGAUCGUAGGCUGCAACUCGCCUACGUGAAGUCGGAAUCGCUAGUAAUCGCAGGUCAGCAUACUGCGGUGAAUACGUUCCCGGGCCUUGUACACACCGCCCGUCACACCACGAAAGUCGGAAGUGCCCAAAGCCGGUGGGGUAACCUUCGGGAGCCAG
rnacentral:rRNA from 1 species